GUGCUUCUUCAGCAGUACACAUACUAAAAUUAGAACAAUAUAGAGAAGAUUAGCAUGGCCCCUGCACAAGGAUGACACUCAAAUUCAUGAAGUAUUCUGUAUUUAA